GCGCUCACUUCGGCAGCACAUAUACUAAAAUUGGAACGCUACAGAGAAGAUUAGCAUGGCUCUUGCGCAAGGAUGACACACAAAUUCGUGAAGCGUUUCAUAUUUUU
rnacentral:snRNA from 1 species